rnacentral:rRNA from 1 species
GACGAACGCUGGCGGCGUGCUUAACACAUGCAAGUCGAACGGAAAGGCCCUGCUUUUGUGGGGUGCUCAAGUGGCGAACGGGUGAGUAACACGUGAGUAACCUGCCCUUGACUUUGGGAUAACUUCAGGAAACUGGGGCUAAUACCGGAUAGGAGCUCCUGCUGCAUGGUGGGGGUUGGAAAGUUUCGGCGGUUGGGGAUGGACUCGCGGCUUAUCAGCUUGUUGGUGGGGUAGUGGCUUACCAAGGCUUUGACGGGUAGCCGGCCUGAGAGGGUGACCGGCCACAUUGGGACUGAGAUACGGCCCAGACUCCUACGGGAGGCAGCAGUGGGGAAUAUUGCACAAUGGGCGGAAGCCUGAUGCAGCAACGCCGCGUGCGGGAUGACGGCCUUCGGGUUGUAAACCGCUUUCGCCUGUGACGAAGCGUGAGUGACGGUAAUGGGUAAAGAAGCACCGGCUAACUACGUA